UUUAUAAGAGACCCUCCUUUUGAAGGUGGUUUUAAAUUUUAAUAAUGGGCGGCAAAAGAUUUCUCAAAAAACGUAAAGCAGGAAAGAUUUUUAUCAAUUAUGGCAGAUAGACUCCCAGUGGUCAUUUCCUAUAGCGAUCCCUUCCCUGGUUUCCUGGCUGACGGUUUUUUUUUAUUUUAAUGCCACCGUCUGUGUGAGCUGAUCCUAUGGCGGUUUUGAUUUUUCUUUUGUAUUUUCUGAACAACUCCCUGUCUCUUGCUCUUGAAAACGUGAUUUGCGAAAUCUUUUUAGAAGACGGUGUGUUGCUUUGGAGCAAAAAGUCUCUGAUCAUAGACGCCCCUUUGAUUUUUCUUUCUCGGCAGUGUUUUCAGAAACGUCCCUUCUCACAUAAAAACUCUAGUUGGAUUUGCUGACUUUCCAGAGAGGUGAGGUAGCCACGUGAAUGUGUCUUUAGUCUCUUGGGCUUGAGUUUAAACAAUAUUUUGUGGGCUGAUUUUCAAAGGCCCAAUAUGACAGCUUUGGGUCUUUUUGGGACUGGAUA
rnacentral:lncRNA from 1 species